rnacentral:misc_RNA from 1 species
GCCCUGUGAUCAUCAACAUAUUCGAACUCACCAAUGUAACCGUGCUUCUGCAUCACCAGCAGAAAUUUGAUGAUCACUUUUGAUGAAGGCCUGAUCAUGACCUGGCGCUUCCCACGCUUUUCAGCAUUGUACAUGCUCUUCAAAGCAUCAUUCAAAACACUAACCCUCACCAUUGUUGCACAGGAAAAGCAGAAAAGGAUCCGCAGAAGGGCCUCAAAGCAAGUAAAAACAGAGAGCUAG